AAGAAAUUACUAAUAGAUUUGAUCCUAUAAUUUUUGAUUUAUGCGAAUAGUUUAUAAAAUUAUUAUAUGAAUAAAUAUUAUAGCAUCUUAAUUGAAUUAGUCAAUAUGCUGGUAACUAAGGGAUCUUAAAAAGUUCAGAGGUACAUACCUGAAGAACCUAAAAAAAUAUUGACAUGCUUUUGGAAGGUAUGUCGAAUUGGUCAAAAUUAAUCUUAUGCUUUUCUAUUUUUUAUUAGAUUCUAGUACAUAUUAUGCACUUUAAUAUAAGGUCUAAG
rnacentral:lncRNA from 1 species